CGGAGUGGACGCAUCACUGGUGUUCGGGUUGUCAUGCCAAUGGCACUGCCCGGUAGCUAAAUGCGGAAGAGAUAAGUGCUGAAAGCAUCUAAGCACGAAACUUGCCCCGAGAUGAGUUCUCCCUGAGACUAUAAGUCUCCUGAAGGAACGUUAAAGACGAUGACGUUGAUAGGCCGGGUGUGUAAGCGCAGCGAUGCGUUGAGCUAACCGGUACUAAUGAACCGUGAGGCUUAACCUUACAACGCCGAAG
rnacentral:rRNA from 1 species